GCCUACAGACAUACCACCCUGAAUGCACCCGACCUCAUCGGAUCUCAGAAGCUAGGCUGAUCUCGGGCCUGGUGAGUACUUGGUUGGGAAACUGCCUGGGAAUAUACCAGGGGCUGCAGGCC
rnacentral:rRNA from 1 species